rnacentral:rRNA from 1 species
GAUGAACGCUGGCGGCGUGCCUAAUACAUGCAAGUCGAGCGAACAGACGAGGAGCUUGCUCCUCUGACGUUAGCGGCGGACGGGUGAGUAACACGUGGAUAACCUACCUAUAAGACUGGGAUAACUUCGGGAAACCGGAGCUAAUACCGGAUAAUAUAUUGAACCGCAUGGUUCAAUAGUGAAAGACGGUUUUGCUGUCACUUAUAGAUGGAUCCGCGCCGCAUUAGCUAGUUGGUAAGGUAACGGCUUACCAAGGCAACGAUGCGUAGCCGACCUGAGAGGGUGAUCGGCCACACUGGAACUGAGGCACGGUCCAGACUCCUACGGGAGGCAGCAGUAGGGAAUCUUCCGCAAUGGGCGAAAGCCUGACGGAGCAACGCCGCGUGAGUGAUGAAGGUCUUCGGAUCGUAAAACUCUGUUAUUAGGGAAGAACAAAUGUGUAAGUAACUAUGCACGUCUUGACGGUACCUAAUCAGAAAGCCACGGCUAACUAUGUG